rnacentral:lncRNA from 1 species
GGGGAGGCUAGGGAUAACAAGCUGGUAAUUAGUAAUAGGCUCUUUUCUUCGAGGGAUUGGGUUAAGGGUAGGCGACGAAAGUUUGCAUAACAAUUAGAUAAUCAAGCACAUUAAACAAGAGAAGUAGAUAAGAGGGAGCGAAUUAGAUGAAAUUAUCAACCCCCAACAACUCCAUUCAUCCAUAGUCUUUUCGUCAAUUGAAUCAAAUACAUUACAUGCUUAUUUUCUGUCUUUGCAUCCACAAAAACUAAUCUUUUUUUUACAAGUCUUACGAUUUUAAUUCACACGAACGAUAAGGCCUUUCGAGUCUCUUGGGAAGAACGAUAUUGGGCU